rnacentral:rRNA from 1 species
CGGACGGGUGAGUAAUGUCUGGGAAACUGCCUGAUGGAGGGGGGUAACUACUGGAAACGGUAGCUAAUACCGCAUAACGUCGCAAGACCAAAGAGGGGGACCUUCGGGCCUCUUGCCAUCGGAUGUGCCCAGAUGGGAUUAGCUAGUAGGUGGGGUAAUGGCUCACCUAGGCGACGAUCCCUAGCUGGUCUGAGAGGAUGACCAGCCACACUGGAACUGAGACACGGUCCAG